rnacentral:rRNA from 1 species
AUUGAACGCUGGCGGCAGGCCUAACACAUGCAAGUCGAGCGGAUGAAGGGAGCUUGCUCCUGGAUUCAGCGGCGGACGGGUGAGUAAUGCCUAGGAAUCUGCCUGGUAGUGGGGGAUAACGUCCGGAAACGGGCGCUAAUACCGCAUACGUCCUGAGGGAGAAAGUGGGAGAUCUUCGGACCUCACGCUAUCAGAUGAGCCUAGGUCGGAUUAGCUAGUUGGUGGGGUAAAGGCCUACCAAGGCGACGAUCCGUAACUGGUCUGAGAGGAUGAUCAGUCAAACUGAAACUGAGACACGGUCCAGACUCCUAGGGGAGGCAGCGGGGGGAAAUUUUGAACAUGGGGCGAAAGCCUAAUCCGGCCAUGCCGCUGGUGUGAAGAAGGUCUUCGGAUUGUAAAGCACUUAAGUUGGGAGGAAGGGCAGUAAGUUAAUACCUUGCUGUUUUGACGUUACCAACAGAAUAAGCACCGGCUAACUUCGUG